AGCCACCGCCCCCUCCUAAGCAUCUCCACAUCACCGACUUCAUUUCUCCCAAGCAAGGGAGCCUGGGGGCCUUUAAAUAGGGGCGGAAAGAGGGAUUUUCCGCAAUCCCUAAAUCUCCCACAUCCGCCGCCUCCUACCCGACAGAACCUGGACGCCGAGUUUUGGAGCGACGCCACCUCCAGUGCUACUGGAACUCCUCCUUUUCCUCGUCCUCCUCUAGUCCUCUAUCGACUUCAUCGGAUCAGGUCACUGAGCUUGGUCGACGGCUUAUGGUCCAACGCCCUCUUUCAACAAUUCAACAGUGAGAACAACAGCAAGAUCCAUCACUGCAAAAUUUUCUUGUGCAGUGGGAUGUUCCAGCUUGGCUGGAGAGAUGAAGAUAAGUGGAGUGUGAUUUUGGUUUGUCCAUGAAACUCCAGGGAAGAAGAAAAAAACAACUCUAAAUUGAGCUUGGCAUGGGAGGUAUUGGAAAGAUUUGUAGCGAGACAAGGAAUUUGUUGCAGACAUGUCGGAUUUGAUUUAUCACCGACAUGUUGCCGUUAUAAUGUAAAGUUCUGCUGCCUCGUCUGCAAUAUUACUUAUUUCAAUCCAUGAGUUGGUGUGAGCGAUGAAUAUUUUCAUCCUCAAUAUUUGUGGAUUGUGUUUUUAUUUCUGUACUAAUUAAUAUUUUAACUAGUUAGUUAUAUAUUAUAUUUCUAUUAUAACAUUUGUAUUAUAAUGUGUUUGACGCGUGUAAGAGAGGAUGAUUUAUGAUAUUAUAAUAUGCAUGUUUUAAUGAUAA